rnacentral:rRNA from 1 species
UACAGAGGUCUCAAGCGUUGUUCGGAUUCAUUGGGCGUAAAGGGUGCGUGGGUGGUGACGCAAGUCUGGUGUGAAAUCUCGGAGCUCAACUCCGAAAUUGCACCGGAUACUGCGUGACUCGAGGACUGUAGAGGAGAUCGGAAUUCACGGUGUAGCAGUGAAAUGCGUAGAUAUCGUGAGGAAGACCAGUUGCGAAGGCGGAUCUCUGGGCAGUUCCUGACACUGAGGCACGAAGGCCAGGGGAGCAAACGGG